UACAUAAGGAGCAAGCGUUGUCCGGAAUCAUUGGGCGUAAAGGGCUCGUAGGCGGUUCUGAAAGUCAGCUGUGAAAUCACCAGGCUCAACCUGGUGCGGUCAGCUGAAACUUUAGGACUUGAGGGUAGGAGAGGAAAGCGGAAUUCCCGGUGUAGCGGUGAAAUGCGUAGAUAUCAGGAGGAACACCGAUGGCGAAGGCAGGUCUCUGGGCCACUACUGACGCUGAGAAGCGAAAGCAUGGGGAGCGAACAGGAUUAGA
rnacentral:rRNA from 1 species